GGUACCAAUCUCUAGUACCCCGCGAUUCAACGUCGACAUUUUCGGCCUAUCAGUUGACGAGGCAAUUUGGGUUUUUGAUAGGUUACUGGAAAACCAACAUAACUACACCUACGACUAUCAAGAACCGAAGGACGUACAGAGAUAUAAAUGGGAGUCGGCAUACCCGAAUGUAGAUGUGGCAAGGGGAAGAUGGAGUUGCGUCGUGCAGGAAAACGGCUACCAAUGCAGGACGCUACUACUUCAAAUGUCCCGACAAACUCAACCAUGUUGGAUCAUUUCAGUGGUACAACAAGGCUGAACAGGGGAUGGGACAGGGAGGGAAAAUGGUCGUACAAGGUCAGGGACAACCAGUUAUGGCUGAAGAACAGAGAUCUUAUGCCAAUUUCAGUGCGGGUGAAUAUAAAGGAGGUGGCCAUUGCUGCCGCGCUUCAACCCCGAACGAUUUGAAGACCCUAAUGCAACUUGGGUUCAUGGCCGUCGUGUUGGUAGUAGUGGGAAUAGUUAUAGGCAGGUUUCUGUGAACUGCUUCUUAUUCAGCCUAGGAUGGCACUUAUGUGUUGUGUCAAUGGCGGAUCCAGGAACAAAUUAUCGUGGGGUCGAACAAGAUAGUAAAUAUUUAUUUAAAAUAAUUGUUUAAAUUAAUUAUUUUUA